rnacentral:rRNA from 1 species
CGAUUACGGCUCAGUAACACGUAGCUAACCUACCCUUAAGUCAAGGAUACCCUCGGGAAACUGAGACUAAUACUUGAUAGGAGAUAUGCCCUGGAAAGACUUAUCUCUGAAACUCGUGCUUAAGGAUGGGGCUGCGGCGGAUUAGGUUGUUGGCGGGGUAAUAGCCCACCAAGCCAAAGAUCCGUAAGGGCUCUUAGCGGAGAGGCCCUGAGAGGAAAUCUGAGACACCAUUUCCAGCCCCACGGGGUGCAGCAGUUAGGAAUAUUUUGCAAUGCGCGUAAGCGUGACAAAUUGAACCAGAGUGAUUUUCAAAUUUGAAAGUCUUUUAUGAAAUGUAAAAAGUUUCACGAAUAAGGACUGGGUAAGACUAGUGCCAGCCGCCGCGGUAAUACUAGCGGUCCAAGUCGCAGCCAUUUUUAUUGGGUCUAAAACAUCCGUAGCUUGUUUGAUAAGUUUCUUGUGAAAUUUCGUAUCUCAAAUACGAAGCGUGCAAGAAAUACUGUCAAGCUAGAGACUGGAAGACGUGAGAAGUACGUUCUAAAGUAAUGGUAAAAUAUGUUAAAUCUAGAACGGACUCAC